AGGAAAAGAAACCAACAGGGAUUGCCCUAGUAACGGCGAGUGAAGCGGCAACAGCUCGAAUUUGAAAUCUGGCUUCGGCCCGAGUUGUAAUCUGUAGAGGAUGCUUUUGGCGCGGUGCCUUCCGAGUGCCCUGGAACGGGACGCCACAGAGGGUGAGAGCCCCGUAUGGUCGGACACCAAGCCUGUGUAAAGCUCCUUCGACGAGUCGGGUAGCUUGGGAAUGCUGCUCUAAGUGGGAGGUAAACUUCUUCUAAAGCUAAAUACUGGCCAGAGACCGAUAGCGCACAAGUAGAGUGAUCGAAAGAUGAAAAGCACUUUGAAAAGAGGGUCAAAUAGUACGUGAAAUUGUUGAAAGGGAAGCGCUCAUGACCAGACUUGCGCCGGGCUGAUCAUCCAGUGGUUUCCACUGGUGCACUCUGCCCGGCCCAGGCCAGCGUCGGCUGUCACGGGGGGACAAAAGCACUGGGAAAGUAGCUCUCUCCGGGGAGUGUUAUAGCCCUAUGCAGAAUACCCCCGCGGCGGCCGAGGUCCGCGCUCUGCAAGGACGCUGGCGUAAUGGUCAUCAGCGACCCGUCUUG
rnacentral:rRNA from 1 species